UUGAGAGAAGGAUACCGACCA
rnacentral:siRNA from 1 species